rnacentral:rRNA from 1 species
CAUGCAAGUCGAACGGAGCACCCUUGAUUGAGGUUUCGGCCAAAUGAUAGGAAUGCUUAGUGGCGGACUGGUGAGUAACGCGUGAGGAACCUGCCUUUCAGAGGGGGACAACAGUUGGAAACGACUGCUAAUACCGCAUGACGCAUUUUGAUCGCAUGGUCGAAAUGCCAAAGAUUUAUCGCUGAAAGAUGGCCUCGCGUCUGAUUAGCUAGUUGGUGAGGUAACGGCCCACCAAGGCGACGAUCAGUAGCCGGACUGAGAGGUUGACCGGCCACAUUGGGACUGAGAUACGGCCCAGACUCCUACGGGAGGCAGCAGUGGGGAAUAUUGGGCAAUGGGCGCAAGCCUGACCCAGCAACGCCGCGUGAAGGAAGAAGGCUUUCGGGUUGUAAACUUCUUUUAAGUGGGAAGAGCAGAAGACGGUACCACUUGAAUAAGCCACGGCUAACUACGUGCCAGCAGCCGCGGUAAUACGUAGGUGGCAAGCGUUGUCCGGAUUUACUGGGUGUAAAGGGCGUGCAGCCGGGCAUGCAAGUCAGAUGUGAAAUCUCAGGGCUUAACCCUGAAACUGCAUUUGAAACUGUAUGUCUUGAGUGCCGGAGAGGUAAUCGGAAUUCCUUGUGUAGCGGUGAAAUGCGUAGAUAUAAGGAAGAACACCAGUGGCGAAGGCGGAUUACUGGACGGUAACUGACGGUGAGGCGCGAAAGCGUGGGGAGCGAACAGGAUUAGAUACCCUGGUAGUCCACGCUGUAAACGAUGGAUACUAUGUGUGCGGGGACUGACCCCCUGCGUGCCGCAGUUAACACAAUAAGUAUCCCACCUGGGGAGUACGAUCGCAAGGUUGAAACUCAAAGGAAUUGACGGGGGCCCGCACAAGCGG